CUGAGAGAAGAUAAUGACGGUAUCUCAGGAAUAAGCACCGGCUAACUCCGUGCCAGCAGCCCGCGGUAAUACGGAGGGUGCAAGCGUUACUCGGAAUCACUGGGCGUAAAGAGCGUGUAGGCGGAAUGAUAAGUCAGGCGUGAAAUCCCGUGGCUUAACUGCGGAACUGCGUUUGAAACUAUCAUUCUGGAGUGUGGGAGAGGCAGGUGGAACUCUUGGUGUAGGGGUAAAAUCCGUAGAUAUCAAGAAGAAUACUCAUUGCGAAGGCGACCUGCUGGAACAUCACUGACGCUGAUGCGCGAAAGCGUGGGGAGCAAACAGGAUUAGAUACCCUGGUAGUCCACGCCCUAAACGAUGGAUGCUAAUUGUCGGGGGGCUUGUCUCCUCGGUAAUGCAGCUAACGCAUUAAGCAUCCCGCCUGGGGAGUACGAUCGCAAGAUUAAAACUCAAAGGAAUAGACGGGGACCCGCACAAGCGGUGGAGCAUGUGGUUUAAUUCGAAGAUACGCGAAGAACCUUACCCAGGCUUGACAUUGAUGGAAUCUACCCCAAAAGGUGGAGUGCCAGUUUACUGGAGCCUGAAAACAGGUGCUGCACGGCUGUCGUCAGCUCGUGUCGUGAGAUGUUGGGUUAAGUCCCGCAACGAGCGCAACCCUCGUCCUUAGUUGCCAUCAGUUCGGCUGGGCACUCUAAGGAGACUGCCUUCGUAAGGAGGAGGAAGGCGAGGAUGACGUCAAGUCAUCAUGGCCCUUACGCCUGGGGCUACACACGUGCUACAAUGGGAUGUACAAAGAGAUGCAAUGUCGUAAGAUGGAGCAAAACUCAAAA
rnacentral:rRNA from 1 species